AAUGCUGCCAACUCGCGAGGUUCGCCAUCACGCACGACUCAAGGAGUGUCGACCGGGAUAUUUCUAGUCCGGUUUUCACGAACUUAGUACCCGAGUAUCGCGGAUGCCCGGUGCAUCUACGCGACGUACGGCCGAGUGUUCCUCGUUAUAUGUAUAUAUACGUCGCGCCUGUUCGUCUCGAUUUUAUCGAACCGUGUAUAUCGUGUCGAUUCUGUGACGAAUGUGAGAGCCGGAAGUAUGACCGAUAGGAAUAUCGUAAAACCGAGACGAAAGCGGCUCGACGACCCUUCCGGGUCAAGGUCGACCUUGGAGAGAUCGGACAGGCCGAAGGAACCGGCGAGGCCGCCGAGAACGAGGACGCAGCAGGUCGCGUAUGUGACAGCGACAAGCAAUUCUGAUUUCGGAAAUGUCACGCAACGCAGCACUUUUGCGGAAACGCAUCAGAGACAGACCGAGAAGGCCCCGAUGACGACUCUUGACGAGAACGUGAACCGCAUACCACGAGAAGAACAGCAUAAGACAACCGAAAAUAUGGAUAAUUUAGGGAGGAACGAUCGGAUAGAAAGGAUCGCGCCGAUGAAUACACAGACGCUGGAUACAUUAACGAACGAGGGGCGGCCUGUCCAAGUGGUACUUGCCCAUCCAGAUCAUACCUUCGAAUUAGAUGAAGAGGCAUUAUCCGAAAUUCUUUUACAUGACGACGUGAAAGAUAGAAGUGUGGUUGUGGUAUCUGUUGCAGGUGCCUUUAGGAAAGGCAAAAGUUUCCUUCUUGACUUUUUUCUUCGUUACAUGAACAGCAAGUAUACGCAACAUAAUACCGAUAAUAUUGAUUCUUGGUUGGGUCCUGAAGAGGAACCGUUGAGCGGUUUUUCGUGGAGGGGCGGUUCCGAAAGGGACACUACGGGAAUAUUAAUGUGGUCGAAGGUUUACCCUACUACCUUGGCGAACGGUGAGAAAAUCGCAGUGAUUCUUAUGGACACUCAAGGCGCAUUCGACAGUCAAUCCACAGUGCGGGACUGCGCGACGGUAUUCGCGUUGAGCACAAUGUUAUCCUCCGUGCAAAUAUACAAUCUGUCGCAAAACAUCCAGGAGGACGAUCUUCAGCAUCUACAGCUAUUCACCGAGUACGGUAGAUUGGCGCUGGAGAGCUCUGAUAGUACGCCGUUUCAGAGACUGCAGUUUUUAAUCAGGGAUUGGGUUUACCCGUAUGAGGCUGAUUAUGGGGCGGAAGGUGGAAAAAAAUUGCUCGACAAGAGACUGGAAAUCUCCGACAGGCAACAUGCGGAACUACAGAGCUUACGAAAGCACAUUAAGUCCUGUUUUUCGGAUAUAUCUUGUUUCCUUAUGCCGCAUCCCGGUCUGGAAAUUGCAACGAAUCCAAAAUUCGACGGUAGAUUAGCCGAAAUACAAUCCGAGUUCAAAAAACAGUUGAAAGUGCUCAUACCAAUGAUAUUAGCGCCAGAAAAUCUGGUGACCAAGAAAAUUAACGGUCAGGUCGUGAAAGCGAAAGAUCUGUUGGAAUAUUUUAAAAGUUACAUCAAUCUUUACAAAGGAGAUGAACUUCCUGAACCGAAAAGUAUGCUUGUGGCUACUGCAGAAGCUAACAACUUAACAGCUGUAGCUGAAGCUAAAGAUUUGUACCUUCAGAUGAUGGAAAAUGUGUGCGGUGGAGGGAAACCGUUUUUAGCGACCGCGCACUUAGAAUCAGAACAUCAUCAUUGUGUGGACUCGGCUCUUCGCCAAUUCCAAAAUAAACGAAAAAUGGGUGGAGAAGAAUUCAGUCAAAUAUAUAUGGAAAAAUUGAUUAAGGACAUGGAAGACUCUUUCUCACAAUUCAAGGCACACAACGAAAGUAAAAACAUCUUUAAAGCAGCGCGAACACCGGCAGUAUUCUUCGCGAUUGCCGUUACCAUGUAUAUUUUCUCCGGAAUAUUUGGUCUUGUUGGUCUAUACACAAUAGCGAAUAUAUGCAAUCUUAUUAUGGGUAUCGGCCUCCUCACUCUUGUUUUAUGGGCAUAUAUAAGAUAUAGUGGAGAAUUCAGAGAAAUUGGCACACAAAUAGAUGACUUAGCCAAUAAAAUAUGGGAAAAUUGUACUAAUGAAAAACGAUAUUUGAGAAAGGUCUGGCUAUGUGCUCAUCUUUGUUAUAAAUUAACAUAUAAAUUAAGAUACCUGAUCCUUUCCAUUGUCAUAAUUGUAUUUGCAAUACCUAUAUGUCAUUUUACUUAUCUCGAUCUUUGUAGACAUGGCUAUAUAUGAUCCCACGCUUUCCUCCCUCUUUAAUUUUAAAUUUAUCAAUUGUUUCAAUCUUGAAUUGCUUCUCAAUACUGUUAUUUACACAUCUAUGUUUCGCAAAUUCUUUUCUUAUUCAAAGUCCAUUUAAUGAUACAACCAUUAAUAUCAUUCUUUUAUUGUUCUUUUUUUUUCUAUUCCUGUCAUAAGCCGAGUGCUAACAGGAACAAAUAUCAAAAAGUUCAUGAAGCCACUCUACCAACAAUUUGUGGAGAAGUCAGUGUCUGUAGCAGUGGCGCAGGCUGCUGAAAUAGCGGUAACAAAUUCAACAUUGAAUGCCACUGUCACUGCCAAUGGCAAGGCUAAAUUAUCGUAAUACUUCAUUCCCAUAAUAUCUCGAUUGUCCAAAUGGAUUGAAAUAUUGCAUUCUUGUGUGCAAAUACCAACAAGUGGCAUAAUCAAAUUUAACAAGAUGUUAUUUCUUGACAUACCGCCGUGAGUAGUUAAACUGAAUUAAACAUUAUGGUUUGAACAUAUUUGAAAUGACUGUGAAUGUAUAUAUGAUGUAUUCUAAUUAUAAAAAAGAAAAAGAAACAGUGUUAGAUUGAUGGAAAUCGUGAUAUUGCUAGUAUUGUCUAGUAUAUCCUUGGUAUAUAAGAUGUUAUAAAAAUAAAAUCUUGUACUGGUGAAAGAUAUCAUUAUUGUAGCUUGAUCUGAAAAUGUUUUAUGACGGGGAUGUUAAUAUAUAUUUAAAGUUAUCACGAAUUAAUUCUGUUAAAAAAUAGAAAAGUGCAUUUGUGAACAUAUUAUAAACAGUUAGGAAAAUAAGUUAUAUGUAUGCUAAUUUUUGUUUUCUUUUUCACUAAGUGCAUGCAACCUUUCUGUUGUAUCCAUUACAUUUAAAGUGCAUUUUGCAAAUUUUUUUUUAUAUGCAGGAUUUUGUUUUUGCACAAUUAUAUUCUUAUUAUUUUAUAUUAUUUAUAUGUUUGGACUAAAAUAAAUUAGAUUUUGCUUUUUGUUUGUGCCAGAAAUUCUCUACAUCAGUUACUGUACUAAGCUAUUGUUUAAUAAUAAAAGAAAGAAUGUAUAUAUGAUGUUAUUCACAUUUUACAUAGCUUGGAAAAGUGAUAAAAAUACUACUCUGAAGUAGAUUUUUUGUGCGCCAUAUAAUAUAUAUAUUGCUAUGGUAUAUCUUAUUAAAUGCAACAUUUUGUAGUUGUACAAUGUUAUAUUAAUCUACUUAAGAGAUUAAGAUAUAAUUCUUAUGUUGCCAACACACUGUGUUAAUAGUGCUCAAAUUUGCGUCAUAGGUAUGCUGGACUCUAUUGCCUAUAUUGCUCAUUGAAUAAAACUAUCAGAGAGAUCUUAUUAACAUAUUUUAUAUUUAUAUACUUGGAUUUAGGAUAUUAUUCACAUAUUUUUUUUAUCUAAAAGCGACUUACAAGUAUAUAAAAAAUUAACUUUUUCUUUGUAUUGCAUGAAUUUUUUUCAAUGAGUAACUUCGGUAAUAAAAUCUGUCAUAUACAUAUAUUAAAACUCCACUACACAAGUUUCUUGCCAAGCGAUUAUUAAUAUACUUUAUAUUCGAUCUAUUAUAUACUUGAUGGAGUAGUGUUUAUUUUUAUAACUUGCAUAGAAUUUCACACUAUUCCUAAAUACACAAAUUUCAUUAAUAAAUGACAAUAUUGGAUUUAAAAAGUUUUAUAUUAAAUGAUUAUUAUUAUAAGUAUUCUAACAUAUUCUACAUAUUAUUAUUUUGAAAAAUAUAUAAUUUAUACAUUCUUUGAAAUUGCAAAAGUGAGAAUUGUACUAUAUGAUGGUUUCAACAUUAUUAUAAAUUGUUUAAGUGUUUGAAAUCUUGAAAUAUUUAUUUCACAAAGACGUACAUGAAAAAUGUGACUUCGUUUACGUUUAAUUAAUUAAACAUAAUUGCUGCUUUAUGCAACAUAAUAUAUCCAAUUUUUUAAAUGUUUUCUUUUUGUAAAUUGUCUUGUAAUUUUAUUAACAGAUAUUAAAUGUCAUCAAACAGGCAGCUCUAAAAAUAUUCUUAAUUAACACAUUUAUUUUUUUAGCUGAAUAAACAUCAUAUUAUUAAUAUAAUCAUAUUUGUGUGUAUCAUCUCAUUAUGCUUUAUACAGGAUGAUUGUAUGUAGAAUAGUAAAAUUAUGCAGAGAUGUAUGGUCAUAAAGGUGCCAUUAAAUUUCAUUUUGGAUUGUCAAGAGCUUCUGUGUCACAUAUUAAAUUUUGUUAAUUUUAUAGAAAUUUGUUUUUAUUAAUUUUGUAAGUUAUCUAAAUAACUAAUUCUAGCAUACAUAUUAAUCCAAGUUUAUAAUAAACAACUACAAUUAGUAUUUAAACCACUAUAUAUCUAUAUAUUUUAGUAUUAUACUUUAAACUGAGGUAAAAUAAGUGUACAUAACACCAAUUAACAUAAACUGAAAUUUUAGUAUUGGAAUAGUUGCUCUUGUGCAAUUUUAUAAAAUAAUUAAAAAUAAUAUAAUAAUAGAGUUAAAUAACU